UUACAUACCUGGACGGGGUCAAUGGGUGAUCAAGAAGGCUCAUGGCCUAGGUGGAUGGCUUCCAUUGCACUCUGGAAUGUGCAUCUGCCUAACAUCUCCCUCUGUGGAGACUGUACGUCAUAAUUUCUGGCAGCGGGGGCUGUGUUCGCGCGCUCCCUCC
rnacentral:snRNA from 1 species